GAAAUGCGAUAAUUAAUGUGAAUUGCAGAAUUCAGUGAAUCAUCGAGUCUUUGAACGCACAUUGCGCCCCCUGGUAUUCCGGGGGGCAUGCCUGUCCGAGCGUCAUUGCUGCCCUCAAGCACGGCUUGUGUGUUGGGCUUCCGUCCCUGGCAACGGGGACGGGCCCAAAAGGCAGUGGCGGCACCAUGUCUGGUCCUCGAGCGUAUGGGGCUUUGUCACCCGCUCCCGUAGGUCCAGCUGGCAGCUAGCCUCGCAACCAAUCUUUUAAACCAGGUUGACCUCGGAUCAGGUAGGGAUACCCGCUGAACUUAAGC
rnacentral:misc_RNA from 1 species